rnacentral:rRNA from 1 species
UGACAGGGAGACAGGUGGUGCAUGGUUGUCGUCAGCUCGUGUCGUGAGAUGUUGGGUUAAGUCCCGCAACGAGCGCAACCCUUAUCUUUAAUUGCCAGCAUUCAGUUGGGCACUUUAAAGAGACUGCCGGUGUUAAACCGGAGGAAGGUGGGGAUGACGUCAAGUCCUCAUGGCCUUUAUGCUUAGGGCUACACACGUGCUACAAUGGGUGGUACAAAGAGAAGCCAACUCGCGAGAGCACGCCAAUCUCAAAAAGCCAUCCUCAGUUCGGAUUGGAGUCUGCAACUCGACUCCAUGAAGUUGGAAUCGCUAGUAAUCGCGGAUCAGCAUGCCGCGGUGAAUACGUUCCCGGGCCUU